UCCCUAGUGGCUCAGAGGUUAAAAGCGUCUGCCUGCAAUGCGGGAGACCUGGGUUCAAUCCCUGCAUUGGGAA
rnacentral:tRNA from 1 species